CAACCUCAAUCUCUUCGACGUGGUUGUAUUCAACAUCUGAUGCCAAGUCGUUAUCUUCAAAAUCGACGUAGGCCAGCGUUCCUUCUUACCCUUGUUCACUGGGCCAUAUCUCUAAGAUAAUGUGCAUCUAGCUUCUUCCUAAUAGAGUAAUAUAAUCUCUCGUCGGCCAUCUUGACUGGCUCGUGUUCAGGCACUUGGGUAAAGCAUCUCGUUUUCAAUAGACAAAAUCAAUUGAAGUAAUCAUUGAUUGAUUCAACGAAAUUUUGCUUCACGCUCGACAAUUCCUUAAGACUAAUCUUGGAUUGCCCCAUGUAAAACUGCUCAUGGAACAACCUUUCUAAUCGAGUCCAAUCAUUGAUUGAAUGGGAAAGAAGGGUCGUAAACCAUGUCAAGACAUUCUUUGUGAGAGAACUAGGAAGUAUCUCAUCCUUAGAUUCUCAUUGUUAGCUAUGUCUCCUACCUCGAUCAGAUAUCCGGCAAUAUAUUCAACGGUAGACUCAUUAGUGUCGCCAUCAAACUUUUUAAACUUAAAGACUUUCCAUCCCCUUGGCAGUUUAGUCUGUAACACAUAUUUUUAUAGAAAAGAUGUGUAAUUUAGCCUCUGCAGGCCCAUGUUCACCCCAUUUUGAACCAUUAUCCUUUUGACAAUGGUUGUCAGGUUAUUCUCUCAUAAGAGAUUCUCUUGUCGAACCUGAUGAACGACCUGAUCAACGUCCUGGUUUCGAUUAACUAUCAUGGCAGGUGGACGCUCUACUUCCCUAGGUAUCGCUUGUUCGACCACUUGAGGCAUAACUUGUUGCCCCUGAUUUACAAUAUUUCCUCCAAAAUGUACCAUUCGUUUCGAACAUGCCUAACGAUUUAGGGUUGUAUAAUAGGUCGAACUUACGCUGGGGGAACGCCAAAAAAAUCAGCAAUUUGAUUCAUUUGAGUUGCCAACGACUGGUAACUCUAAUUCGUAUUUUGAAUCAAUGGGUUGAAUAUCGUACCCAUCUGUUGGGCAAGAGUAUUUACCAUAUCAUGGUUACUCUCAUCUAUCUGCUAUCUCAUUGUCAUUACGAAAUUCGUCGUGAACGUUGGAAUUUCCUGGGAACUAAAUCCCAUUCCCACAUGGGGUGGCAUGGUUCGGCCGUGGUUACCUAUGGCAGAUCUAGACGCCAAGAUUGGUGAAUAUGUAUUUGUAGCAUUAUUAGCAAAUGUCUCCGAAAUAGUAUGUAGGUUUCCCAUCAUUGAUGUUGGCAUCCCAUAAGGUUGUUCACGUCCCAAUAUGGGCAUUGUGAAACUUGUGGUGAAAAACCUAGCCUUUGUCAUCAUAAUUGGUCUAGGAGUCACUGGGUGACUCUCGAUUACUGGAUACAAAACUGUUCCUUCUGGUAGAGUUGAUAGCGCAACCGUCGUUGAUGAUAUGGUUGCUGUGCUAGCACUCGAAAGGAUUAGUUCAGUCGACAUUGCAACGAUCGUACCUGCCCAAUGCUAUUAAAAAGUUGUUCUCCAUUGUUAUUUAUGGGAAUAACCAUCCUCCUUGCGUAUCUCCUUAUAGGAUUCCUAUCUUCUGUCUUUGUUAUUUUACCACUUCUUAGUCUCAUGCACACUAAAAAAUGAGAAGUUAAUAAAAAUGAAGAAACUUAUAAACGAUAUUUUUUCGAAAUAAAAUCAACAAUUCACACAAAAAAGAGUUCCACCGGAUGUGCCAAUUUGUUUACUGGUAAAUUUGGUAAACAAAAUAAAUUUCUAUUAAUACUUAAUGGAUCAAACUUGAAAAUUUCCCGGAACAUAUUUGUGUGAAUUUAAACCUCUGAACAUCAUGUUAUGAUUGAAAUCGAAACACAAUGUGAAAUUUUGACAAGACUUAGAAUGUAAAAUGUUUUGAAAUAAAGAUAAACUGAAAUCGAAAUGUAAACUGAAGAUAAAAUGAUAGGAAUCGAAAUGUAACUGAAUGCAGAGAAAGACUUGAAUGUAAAAGUGUUUGAAAUUUAUAAAUGUAGAACACAUACGUACAUUUUCUUCACUCGUUUUUCAAUUAUACAUAUACUUUGAGUAUAUACAAAUGUAAGUACAAUUGCGGAUCCCUAUAACGUAAACAUGCGCCCCCUUGUAUACUAAUCUAAAAUAACUACCUACAAACGAUCGACUAAACAAAUCCCGAAACGUUUUACUUUCAUACAGUCGUUAUCUUCGACGAGCCUCCACGUGUCUUCGAGUAACCACCUCUUAUAAUCCAAUUUACGCUCUUUCAAUCCGGCCAAAUAACCAACUAGAACAUUUGAAAUUUUCAUCAAAUCCACAUACUUUACCAAGGCUCCUCGGCCUUCAGCUGCCUCGACCAAACUUAUCACAUCCAUAACUUUCGACAUGUUCAAAUCACAUUAACUCAUAACUUUGAUUUAAUACAUUUGAUUUUUAGCUUUCAUCAUGACACACUUAUUCUUACUUAUCAUUUAUAAUUAAAUCAAAAAAUUUAAAAUAACAAUUGGAUGAUAGAUCCGCGGAUUGACCAAUAUCUAUCAACACACUAAUGUCCUCUCCUAUUUUACCAUUUUUUUUUUCUGUUUCUCUCACCCACAUAUAUGAAUCACGAGUAAAAUCGAUGAAUUGUCAAAUUUUGUGUGCCUAUCACAUCUUUUAACACCUUCCUCACAAAGACUAUCUUUUAUUUGACUGACCUAAAAAAUCCGAGUUAUGGAAAAUUCAGCGGCUUGACGUUGUGGAUCAAUGUUAAUUAUUUUUAAGUUUAGUCAAUUUUUAAUUUAUACAUAAAAGCGGAAAGAUCCACGCUAGAAGUCUCAAACCCAAAGACACGCUGCAUCAUAGACAGAGCACCGCACACGCCAGGUAAGUACUGGAGCAGUGUAGUAUAACAAUUAAUGAAAAACCCACGCAAUUUAGAUUAAGAUAAGCCUCUCUUUCCUCACUUCGACUUUUGAGCCUAACGAUCAGUAACCACCUCACAACACUGCGAGCACUAACAAUGGCGGUGGGAAAAGAUAACACAGAGAUUGUGAAGGCACGAAUCGAUAAGAGAGAUUACAGAAGAAUCGUUCUCGGUAACUCUCUUCAAGCUCUCCUCAUCAGCGAUCCAGAUACCGAUAAGGUUAAUUUCUAUCCGAUCUUCGUUUUUUCCAAUUCGAUUCAGUCACUCUUUACAUCGCGCGAUUUGAAUAGAUGAUAUCUAUGCUUUCUCUAUCUGAUUUCGAUUUAUUGUGUGUUUUGAAGUGUGCUGCUUCCAUGAGCGUUGGCGUUGGCUACUUCUCUGAUCCUGCUGGUCUUGAAGGCCUCGCACAUUUCCUAGGUGUUUAUUGUUUUUUCACUUCGCUUACUUGUUUUUAUCAUUUUUAUUGUUCAUAAUUUGAUCGCGUUGAUUCUAAUCCAAUGAGAUUUCAUUGUUUGAAUAGAAGAUUAGUGAUAACGUGAACUGUGAAGUGAAACCUGCUACAAAAUCCAUGUACUAAUAAGAAAUAAACAAUGGAGUGGGGUGUUGAAUAUUUGUUCAUUUUGGUUUUGUUUUAUGGUUGAAAUCGUUUGUGUUUUUUUGUUAACAGAGCACAUGCUGUUUUAUGCUAGCGAAAAGUACCCUGUGGAAGAUAGCUAUUCCAAGUAUAUUACUGAGGUAUGGUAAUUUUUGUAUUCCCAACCUUGUUUCUUCGAGAGAAAGAUGUUUUCUUCAUUGGAUUUUGUUACCACUCUGCGUUUAGCCUUUUUUUUUCUUUAUAAACUUCAUCAGUUCAAUUAUAUUCUCUAAAAAUACUGUGAAGAUGAAAAAGUUGAAUGAAAUAUCUGCUCCUUGUUAGAACGCACCUUGGUCUUAUUGGUAUUUUGGGGUAGGAUGUCAGUCACUGUUGAAUUUUCCAGGAAGCAUUACUCGAAAAAGGAAGACCAGAUUGAGUAUGCACAACAUUUUUAGGAUCUCUACUUUUAGGAAACUUGGAAAAUAUGAAAAUAAUUCAAAAACUAGCAAAUCAUAUUUUAACAACAACAUAUUUAGAAUGAUAUAUUUUCGCUAGAUAAGAGAAACAUUUUAACACAAUCCCCCAAGCCGGAGUGAGAAAACAGUAUACAGUAAGAUUUAUCACAAAUAAAGUGUCUUUGAGGACCAUAAAGAAACCUCAUGAGGAUAAUUGCACACUGAUUACUAGAUUUAAGUGAUUGUUGACAUACACGAUCAUGGACAGAAACACACUCUUCAAAUUGGGGGUAGUUGCCCCCAUUAUAUUUUGUAUUUUAUUAUUAGUUAUUGAGUAAUUUAUUAUUUUUACUAAAAUUAUGUAUUGCCCCACAAAAGUUUACUAAAUGAUUAUAUUUGCGAAGAAUCAAAUGUACACCAGUGUGAGAGAUAACUUAUUGAAUGCUUAUUAGUUAUAUAGACAGAUAAAUAUAUUUUUGAUAGUGUUGAUAAUGAAUAAAUAUAAAAUAGUUUUAAAAUAGAAAUGAAGACAUAGAUAACAUGUAUAAUUUGUAGAAGUCGAUGUGUCUUUAAAAUUUUGGACAUAUAAUGGUAUAAUUUUGAAAUCUUCAAACUUUUAUUUAAUAAUAAGGGAUUAAUUACUAUGCACUGUCAGUGUAAAAAGUUAUACACGGUUGAUUCAUGAUAGAAUUAGGUAAAGAGAGAGAAUGAAAAGAAACUCUCAUUGUAUUAUAUGAUGAACAGUAAUACAAGAGGCUACUAUAUAUAGCCAUGUAAUCCAAAACAGAAAAGGUGUUGAGCCGCAUAACAAGCUAACAGCACACCACUAACAAAGCUGACAGCUCAGCAAAACAGAAUAGAAAAAUAAAAAUGAAGGGCAUAUUAGUAAACUACUCUAUUAGUCCCCUUAGAAGCUGAUGGCAGACUGGUCAAGUAGCCUUAUCAUACACACGCAACUUGAACGAAGAGGAACAAACUUCGGCAGCAGAAGGGGCUUAUGUGAGAAUGUCAGCCCAUUGAUCUUGAGCUAGGUACAUGAAAAACAGUCAGACUUUUGCUGAGUACUUUCUCUCGCCAGAAAGAAAAUAUCAACUCCAUAUGCUUAGUCCUGUUGUGAAGAAUAGGAUUGUGAGCCAAAGUACAGUGCUCAAGUUAUCACACAAGAUCUUGGAACUUAGAGGAAUAAUGAGUUCCUUAAGCAAGGACUGAAUCCAAAUGAGUUCAGCAGCUAGCUGAGCCAUACUGCGUAUUCCGCCUCAGCACUGGACCUUGCAACAAGCUGUUGCUUUUUGACCACCAGGAAACACUUAGGCCCAAGAUAUUGCAGCCCUGAAGUAGAUCUCCGGUCAUCAGGGUCUGAUGCCCAGUCUGCAUCACAGAACCCUAGCAACUGCAUUGGUUGCUGAAUAGGAGCAGGCUGAAGAGAAGACCAUGCGUGCAGAGUACCACUUAGGUACCUUAAGAUUCUUUUAACAGCCCUUUCCAAUUGAUCCUCUAAAGGACUUGGACAAAAACUGACAGACUUUGUUGAUUGAAAAAGAAUCUCUGGCCUAGUUAAGGUAGCAUAUUGAAGGGCACCAACCACAGACCGAAACUGAGUAGGGUCAUCAACCGCAGCAGACCCAACCUUGGAAAUUUGCUGCUAGAGAUCAUGGGAGUAGGCAUGCCAUUGGCAUUCAACAUAUAGCCUUGAAAGCAAAUCUGUGACUGUACUUGGUCUGAGAUAAGAGAAGAACCAUUAGGGAGAUGAGUCACUUGAAUCCCUAGAAAAUAAUCAAGGUGUCCCAGCUGUUUGAGAGAGAAAGAAUUAUUGAUAAUGCUUGAUCAAGGAAGCUAUAAAGGAGCAGACUACCCGUGAUGAUUAUAUCAUCUACAUAGACCAGAAUUAGAAUCUGAAGUUUACCUUGAUGCAACAAAAACAGCUAGAUCACAUCUACUAGCCUUAACCGAUUGAACCAAGGCAACACUUUGCUUAUCAAACCAGGCCCUAGGAGCCUGUUUUAAACCAUAAAUAGCCUUAUUUAACUUGCAAAAAGAGUGCUGUCAGCCAACUUCAAAGCCAGGGGGGCUGUUGCUAAGACUUCUUCUUCAAGAGUGCAUUGAGGAAGCAUUGUUAACCAUCAAUCUGCUGCAAUGGCACCUGUUUGUAACAGCAAUAGAAAGAACAUUCUCACAGUGACAGUUUAAUGACAGGAAGAAAUCUCUUGAAAUCAUUACCCAGCCUUUUUGAUGGAACCCUUAGCCACUAAUCUGGCUUUAUACCUGUUAUGAACCAUCAGGAUUCUUCCUUAGUCCUGAACACCCACUUACAUCCAAUAGCUUCCCUUCCAGCAGGCUUCACCAAAGUCCAGUCGAUUUCUCGCAGUGCCUGAUGUUCUUCCUUCAUGGCCUGAAACCAGUUAGGAGCACCAAAGGCUUGUUCACAGAUGUAGUUCAAGGUGGGCUGUUAAUAGAGUAGAGGUGAUCUAGGAAGGUGAUUCUCUUUUGGCUCUAGUUGCAUAGGGGAAUGUUUUGAGGGUUGGAAUGAAGGAAAGCUGUGCAGCAGGUGGGAAAUAGAUAGGCCAGGGAGGGACAACUGAAGGAGGAUAUAAGAGGAGGGAAAGAGUGCUACUUCACUGGAUCAGAGGAAUGAGGCAGGAGAGAAGAGAAGAGGAAUGGGAAUGCAGUGAGUUGAGGGAUAGGUUGCUACCAGGAAGAAUAAGAGUAGUGUAGAGGGCGCAGGAAGAAGGAAGAAGAUGAGGAAUAUAGAAUAGUGGGACUGCUAAGUUGAGAAAAGAGAUUUGAGGAAGAAAGAAGAUAAGAAACAGAUUAGAGUAGAGGAGUAGAGGGAACAGGAGGAAAACUGAGAGAGGAAGGAGAGGAUGGACUAGGUUAGGAGAGAGACAGAUUUUGAAGAAGAAAUCAAGGUGAAUAAGGAAAAUUGCCUUCAUUAAAAACAACAUCCUUGGAAUAAAAAUCGACCAUAUGAAGCAAGGCUUUAUACCUUUGUGAGAGGUAGAUAUCCAAGAAAAUGCACAUUGAGAUCUAAAGUCAAGUUUAUGAGAAUUAUAGGGACGAAGGAAAGGAUACAAGCACAGCCAAAGCUUUAAGUAGUUAGAUCCGGGUUUUUGUGAAGUAAUUUAAAAUAGGUGAGACAUUGUCAAUUAGUGAGAAGUCUGUUAAUGAGAUAUGCAGCUGUGCAAUGCAUAUCCCAGGAAUUUUAAGGAAGGGGACUGAGCAAGGAGUGGAGGCAGUCUCAACAAUGUGCCUGUGCUACGUUCAAAAGGCCAUUUGGUGAUGUGUAUAUGGGACAGUGAAUCAUGUGAACAAUCCCUAAAUCUGUGAGAUAUUUGGUAAGAGGCCUAAACUCACCUCCCCAUCAGUUUGAACACAUUUAAUGGGACAAUUGAACUGAAGUUCAACCAUUUUUUUAAACUGAAGAAACUGAACCAUGGUGUCAGACUAAGUUUUAGAGGAAAAACCCAAACAACCUAGAGAGGCAUCAAUACAGGUUAGAAAUAUGUAUAACCACUGGAAGAUUGCAUAGGGCAGACCCCAGAGAUCAACAUACAACCAGCUCAAAAGGAUGAGAGUAAACUGUGGUAGUAAAAGAAAGAAGGAAGUCUAUGAGACUUGCCAUGCAGCAAGCAUGACAUAACUCAGCAGGGGGUUUAGAUGGAAAGGGACUAAUUACACAUUUGAACGAUUUCAGUGAGGGCAUGAUGAUUGGGUGUCCCAGCCUAGUAUGCCAAAGCACAUAUUUCUUGGAUGCCAAUACGAAUUUGCAGCAUUAAAGUGUGAGGAAGGUAAACAGUACUGACAGAGUUUAGAGAAGGAUUGAAAAAAGGUACUUGUAACAUUAUAAUUGCAAGAUUCAUUACAAGAAGACAAAGAUUAGUAUUGAUUUGCAACCGAUUCAGUACACUGAGAUAUAGAAUCUGUAACAUCUGUCCUAAGGAACCAUUACAAUUGUAUGCUGCAGGAUAACUAUGACCUAGAACUGUAAGAGGAAGAAGACCUUGACAACGGAGGAGCACUGGAUUGGAGAAUUUAUAGAGGCCAUCAGCACCAACAAGACACUGAGUAAGACUUCAGAAGUAGCCUGAGAUUUGACACACAAAACUUAGGAUGAAAUUCAAAAAAAUACAGAAUUAUCUUGAGCAAUUUGCUCACACUCAUAAGGUUUUGUGAUGUGAGGGACAUGUAAGAGAUUGUUAAGAGUGAGAGAUAGAUGAGGUUGUGAGUAAGGAAAAGACAAAACCUACAGAGUUGAUGGACAAACACUUGGCCGUUACCUAUGAAACUUGUUCAGUUCCAGGCACGGAGGCAGAGUCAGACACAUUAGAGGCAUCAGGAGUAACAUGAUGAAAGCUCCUGAGUCAGGAUACCACCACUGGUUUGCACUGCUAGCUUCAGUACCUGCCAUAAAAGGCUUGUGGUGCAGAAGAUCUGGAGGUGCAGCUCUGGGAGAAGCAUAAGCAAGCGGCACAGGAUAAAACGCACGAGGAGCCACCGUGAAAAGAUUGAAGGAGCUCGAUGAUGUGGAAACUAGCACCACUGGAAUUGGCAUAACGAUAGUAGCAUACAGAAGCAUCAUGACCAGGUUUGUGACAAAUCUGACACGUGAUUUCCCAAAACGACCUCCUCCACGACCAAAACGACCACCACCGCGACCAGAACGACCACCACGUGCACCAUAGGAAUGUUUUCGCAUUAGCGGUGACGUGACUCGUUCCUUGAGGAAACGCCUCGGAGACGACUUGAUCAGAAGCGCCUGGAGUAGGAGAAGGUGUUGCUUGAGUGAGAUUGACCGUCGCCCGUCGCAGGUUCUGUAAUCGCAGCUUUGCGAUGCUUCUCCAAUCGCGACUCAUGAGCAAGCAAGGAAGACUCCAACUCUUCCAAGGAGCUAACGUCAUCUUUGCUGUUGACGGCGGCGACAAUAAGAUCAUAAUCUCAGUAACGAAUCGAGAACAAUCUCAAUUAGGUUACGAAGAGGAACGGAUCACCGAUGAGUUAGCGACUCACUGAUGUCACGAGAACGCGUCAUAAGCUCAGUAAUCGUUAGUGAACCCUUCGUAAGACGCCGGAGUUCUGAAGCAAGUUGACGAGCCUUGUGAGAGAAGAACAUCAAAGUAGCGAUGAACUUCUGUCCACACCUGCCACGCAUGCUUGCAUCACGAGCUUAGGAAGGAGAGCAUCGGAGAUAGUAAGAGAAGCCCAGGUGCAGAUGAGAGCAUCCUGCUGGUCCCACUCAAGAACGCACUGUGAGAUGUAGGAUCUGAGGAGACGGUGACGGAAUCACCGGAACCGUGACAAAGCGUUGAAGACGAUGACCACGGACGACGCCAUCAAUCUGCUGCUUCCACUGUUUGAAGUUCUUGUCGUCAAGCUUAACAGAAUAGGUGAGAAAGUUUCACCUGAGAGAGAAGGAAUAAAGAUUCCUGGAUCGAAAAAAAUUUAAGCUCUGUAUACCAUGAUAGAAUUAGGUAAAGAGAGAGAAUGAAAGAAACUCUCAUUGUAUUAUAUGAUGAACAGUAAUAAAGAGGCUACUAUCUAUAGCCAUGUAAUCCAAAACAGAAAAGGUGUGAGGCGCAUAACAAGCUAACAGCACACCACUAACAAAGCUGACAGCUCAGCAAAACAGAAUAGAAAAAUAAAAUGAAGGGCAUAUUAGUAAACUACUCUAUUAAUUCAUCACCAUCACCUGUUUGCAUUAUUUUAUAGGUUUUUAAAAUAAAAGUCAAACUUGUUCCAAUAUCCAACGUCUAUGAUUAAAUGACUGUGUAAAAUCCUUUUACACUGUCGGUGUAUUUCAAUUAAAUUCUAAUAAUAAUGACAUUAUUAUUUCAUCGCUUGCUCGCCAAUGUACUCUUACAUAAAUAGUUAUAGUAUAUGGUUAUGCCCCUACUUAUCAAAAUGUCUAGGUCCAUUCAUUUAGACAAUAGUCAUUUUCUUGGAAAUAAUUUUUUCGUAGACAAAGUCACAAUCGAUUUUUAUAUAUUUGUUGCUUUCAUGAAAGUCUGAAUUUGAACAAGGUUCCUCUUGAUCCAUUAAGAACUUUCUGUCCAUUUGAGUGUUAAUAGGUAUAAUGAUGUCUUAUCUUUCUUAUCAUCAAAUGGAAUUUCAAAAUGAAAUAGUUUCUUUCUUAAUUAUUUUUCAUUUUUCAUUUUUAAGUUAUUCUUAUAUUUCUUUGCUUAUCACUUUUGUUUGGUCAUUGAUAUGGUUUGUCUCCCACACACAGCAUGGAGGAAGCACCAAUGCUUUUACAUCUUCUGAGAACACCAAUUAUUUUUUUGAUGUAAACACUGAUGGUUUUGAAGAGGCUCUUGACAGGUAGAUCCCAUUUUUCUGAUAUCUAUAUUUAGUUCCUUGUAACAAAAUUCUAUUGUAGCAAUUGUGAACUUGGGGUAUGGUUUGUCUUCCAGAUUUGCUCAAUUCUUUACUAAACCAUUGAUGUCCGCUGAUGCUACCAUGAGGGAAAUUAAAGCUGUUGACUCUGGUUAGCUAAUCUUUUAAAUUACUUGUCUUUUUUUACGAUACUUGUUUCCUUUAGUUUUAUUUCUCUCGUUAUUUAUUUGAUUUGCUUGUUACAGAAAACCAGAAAAAUUUAUUGUCUGAUGGGUGGAGAAUGAAUCAGGUAUCUGUAAAUGCUUUUACAUUGGUUUUUGAGUAUUGUUUGGUAAAUAUGCGUGUUUUAAAAGAGCAUUAAAAUGUGCUGUUAUGGAAAAUAUUUUCCUAUAAUAUUACCGUGGAGCAAGUGAUCUGUAUUUUAUUUAGGAUGGAUAUGGAGUAUAUUUUUAAUAUUCAACAUCUUUUCUAAAUCCAUCGAUUUUAUUUUGAACUGAAAUUCUUGAUUGGUUUAAAUGGCUAUCAGUUAUGUUUCAAAUAUGUGGGCAACUCAUUUGUUGCAUUCAGACGCAGGAUAUUUUUAGCCAAGACAUGUGUGUGCAUGCACUUGUUAUGUCAUUUUAACCACACUGCAUCAAUUAGAUAGCAUUUAUUGGUGGUUAUCCAAUUAAAAUGUGAUGCAGUCUUAAAUUGGAUUCUCUUAUUUUAUGAUAGAAACCAACUGAUAUAUAAAAGAAUAUAGGAAAAAUUCCUUUGAAUUACACAAUCCGCAGAACUUCGAGGGUCUGCACCUCCGAAUGCCAAAAUGGCCCCUUUUCCAAUCCAAUUCCAAGAUGAUCAACCCCCUCAAUGCCAAAAUGGCCCCUUUUCCAAUCCAAUCCCAAGAUGAUCAACCCCCUCAAUGUCUUCUCUUAUUUAUUCUAAACCUAAACACUCUUAAUUAAUAAUAUAAUAAUUCUAAUAAUUAUCCACCAACUCUCCUAAUAAUUUAAUAUCAGUUACAAAACUCAAGAGUCUAACAAUACUCCCCCCUAAAGAUUCACCUUGUCCUCAAGGUGAAAGAAAUACACCGUAGGAAAAAUAUAUCCUCCCGGAUCCCAUAAUUUGUAAAAUAAAGGUUGAGUUGUACAAGAAAUAGGAAAUUUUCUUGCUAAUGGCAGUCCUUUCGUGACUAGUUGUUGUGGCCCCAGUGGCACCGUGGUGGAAAUUUCUUAUUCCUAAACUUUAUCUUAGGAAUAAUAGCAAACACCGACAAUAAUGAGUCUUUUGCCUGUGAUGAAAUAGCCGACUCUCCGUCACUUCUCUGGACAUCUGCAUCACUGGCAGCCAUCAAUGAAUCUGUAUUUUUCACUUCGUCGCUCACGCAAUCAGAUUUGAUAUCCACUUUACAAACUUCUUUUUCACUGUAUUGUUGGAUUUGUGAGUCUUCAACUCUACCACCAAUCUUUUCUUUCAGUUGAAGAUGCUAUUGGUUCUUGAAUUUCAUCGCUGCCUUGGAUUUCCUGUGUUUCGUUUUCAGACUCCAGUAGACAAUUUCUUGAGAAUGGCCUUUACAAAAUUCCACCAACAAGUAUUUGGAUGACUCUCCUUCCAAGAAAUCCACCAAUCAAGAGCAUCUCCUCUCAAUGCAAAUGCAACAACCCACUGAAGCUUCAUCUCUUCAAUCAUUCUUCUUGAUGACAACUCAAUUUUUUCUUGUUAAGAAUGUGUGAUUGGGCCUAACUCAACCUACAAAACCGAUUGGUAGAGUGAGGAUUGCCUCCAUUUAUACACACAUGUUCAGACCAUAUAUUGUCCGAUGUGGGACUCUUAACGCACCCCCUCACGCCCAGGACUGGACAUCUGGAACGUGAAAAUAAAUGGUGGGUGACCCAAUAGCGGAAACCAUAGUAGGUGGCCCACCGGAUCUUAAACGAGGCUCUGAUACCAUGUUAAGAAGUGUGGUUGGGCCUAACUCAACCCUACAAAACCGGUUAAAAUCGGUUGGUAGAGUGAGGACUGCCCCCACUUAUAAACACAUGUUCAUGCCAUAUGUUGUCCGAUGUGAGACUCUUAACAUUUCUCUGUUUUUUUUCCUCUACCGGAUCAAAAGUGCUCUGAUACCAGUUGAUAGAAACCAACUGAUAUAUAAAAGAAUAUAGGGAAAAUCCCUUUGGGGUCUGCACCUCCCAAUGCCAAAAUUGCCCCUUUUCCUAUCCAAUUCCAAGAUGAUCAACCCCCUCAAUGUCUUCCCCUAUUUAUUCUAAACCUAAACACUCUUAAUUAAUAAUAUAAUAAUUCUAAUGAUUAUCCACUAACUCUCCUAAUAAUUUAAUAUCAGUUACAAAACUCAAGAGUCUAACAUAUUAUUGCUUUAAAUAUCCACUUUCUUGGAAUAGGCUUGUCCUUGUUUUCUAUUGUGGAUGGGCUGUCUAGCUUCCACUAAUGCUGCUGCAUUGUUGAAUAUGACGAAACUCAUUAAAACUCAGUUUGUCAAUUACUGAUGCUUGAACUUGAGGCCAGUGUCCCUAAAAUUAUUUGGGCUUAGGAUUCCUAUAAGGAUAUGAAAUUGGAAGAAUAUUUAGUCUUCCAGCUGGAUCAUUGGAUCAGGUGUUUAAAAAAGCCGGGGAAAGGUCAAUGGAUUACCUAUUUUGUCUCUCAACUCAAUAUAGGAUUAACUAAUUUAAUUAAUCUUGAAAUUACAUUUACUUAAUUGUUAAAGUGUGUUUAGUAGGCGUUUGACAGACAUAGUUUUGAAUGAACUUGAUUCUGUAAAUCGGCUUAGUUAGAAAUAGGUUUGAAGUGAAGUCUUUAUGUUAGGAUAUUAUCCAUUUGAAUGUAAAAGCUAGAUUGAGUUGCUUCUUUGGAAACCACAUUUCAUCCCUAAGCCACAUUUGAAAAAUAAAGCAACGGCGUGUCCAAAUAUUUAACGGAUCAUAUUUGAGUUUUAAGAACACAGUUUGGGACUGCAAACACAUACGAGGAAAACAUGCUACAUGCUUGAAAUGGAUUUGUUCGUCUCAAAAUUUGGGUUAUGCCUAACUCAUCCCUACAAAACCGGCUUGUAGGGUGAGGAUUGCCCCCACUUAUAAACACAACACAGACCAUAUUUCUAAGCAAUGUGAGACUAAA
rnacentral:lncRNA from 1 species